UAUUGCGUCCCUUAUUUGAAUAGGUCGGCAAUUAGGGAUUUGAUGCCUUUCAGGAACCGUUGAGUUGUUUAACAUGUCAUAUUUUCUGUGUUACCACCAAUUACUCGCGGUUCAUUUGAUGAACAUCAACUUCCACUCUGCUUCAUAUAAACCUCAGUGUAUAUAAAUAACAGAUGACAUUGGCACUAAAGCUAUAGCAUCAAUAUGUAUCAACAUUUAUUGACAAAAGGAAGAUUUUAUACAGAAGAACUUACAACUUCAUUGCAAUAAAUUUACUGAGAGUUAGUUCUUCGGAGUGAGACAUUUCCAAUCAUUGCCAACAAGGUUCAGGAGAUGAUUUUAUGUUCCAUCUAAAUUUGGACAGAUUUUCUAAUGAAUUUGCUACUGUUUUCUGAUGCCAACAAAGAUAACAAUUGAUGGAAAUAUUGCAGUAUCAUCAGUGCAGUAAUAAAUAGUGAAAACUAUAUCAAUAUAAUUGUUGUGU